CUCUGACUUAAUUCCAUUCAGGUGCAUAAUUGUGGGUUUAACGCUAGGUAACAAAGCUUGAGAUACAAGAAUCGGUUAUUCUACAUAAAAAUAGAGAUAAGUUAUUCCAUUCCCAACCUAUCCCGUGA